CCUCUUAAAACCAUUCACACUGUUGUUACAAAUAGCUGCUGGCUAUCCAUAUGAACAAUCCGGUCAUUUAUCACAGAAUACAUACUGUAGUGGUCACCCUCCUUAAGGACCAGGGCUACAACUCACACUCACACACACACACACACACACACACACACACACACGCGACAUUUUAAAUUUACAAAGUAAAUAAUAAACUGUCUUAAAGCGAGUAUCAAUUUGUAAAUUUCAAAGUAGUUCAUGAAAGUCAGGUAGAAAUCCUUGUGAAGAACUCAACAACUCAGUUCCU